UAGAUAUAUAUAUAUAUAUAUAUAGAGAGAGAGAGAGAGAGAGAGAGAGAGUUCUCACUUCUCAGCUUGUUCUAUAAAUUGAAGUAUCACCAUUAAUUAAUUCCUUCAUGUUUGGAGAUUGAGCUAAUCUUUUUAUCUAUAUUAUAUAUCUCAAUCUUGCAGCAGUUCUUCAAUUCCUCACUGGAGAUUCUCUGGAUCAAAGUAUGAUGUGCCAGAGCUUUUCUGAAGAGCAUAACAUGGGACAAUCUUCAAAAGUUCACUGUAAGAAGACAAUGAACAUGAUGGAUACCAGAUGUUCAGAUGCAUUCAAUACUGAUUAAGAUGGAAUGUGACUCAAAUUUUUGAGAUGAUCCGUGUGAAAUGAAGAGGUAAAAACAAAUUUGGAGACUACCAAAUGUUUCCUUUGAUUGGGUGACAUUUUUACUUGCAUUUUGAUUUGGAAGUGCUCGCUAGCUAGCUAGCUAACUUCAUGCAUUGAUCUUAGUGAAUAAAAAGUUCAUAUUGAGCUGGUUCAUCAAAUUGUUAUUCUUGUGAAAGUGCUUAAAUUCAUAACAGCACUAUUUUUAUGGUAAUGUUAAAGAGUAUAUUGCACCAAUUGUCUUAAUGAAUAGAUGUAUGCCGUACUGUGAUAUUAAAUAUGCUUACUUUAUCCUUUUAAGUAAAGUAAUUAUGUUCUCAGCUGGAAUCAUCUUAAGAAUACAAACAUCAAUUAGUCCUAGGACAUAUGUAUAGUGAUCUAAUUGAGUACUUGCUUGUAUAUUAGAGAGAGCAUUAAAUAAUAUAUACGAAAGGUACAUAUCUAGAGCUCUAGAUGAUUGUUGUGACUCUCUUUUUUCGUUAAUUAGUAGUAAUCAAGAUAUUGAGGGGAAUUCAUGUAUUUAUAUAUGUCCAUUAGAAGAUUAGAAGAUAGAAGAGCCAUUGAUGAAAAAAACAAAGCCCAUGUAAUUCAGUGUAUCUAGAUGUAGCAUCAUUAUAUAGAUAUACGUUAUUGAUAAGGACUCAAUAUUUACAUUUAUUAUUUGGAGAUUUUUUAGCAAUAUAUUCCAUUCACAUAAGAAAAGCAAAGGAUAUUCUAUCCUCAAUAGACCACCAAAUUAAUGAAGUAUUCUACUCUUCUUGUAUCUCAUAUAUAUAUAUAUAUAUAUAUAUAUAUAUCUGAUAGACAUCAUCUUGUCAAAUUCUUACCUUAUCAUGUACCUUAGAAUCUCAGUGAUCAUAUUCAAAUUAGAUUACUUUUAGUUUUGGAAUAGAAUAACUUUGUGAAUGAAGGUGUUCU